AGAUGAGGUAGAGGUUGCAGACAUGAUCAGUAGUUGUGCCGAGGCAAAGAGAAGCCGGUGAAGCACAGUGAAAGGCAUGAAUGCCGAAGUGCAGGGUAUCCUCUUGUAUCCUGUGCUGGGGCCGUUGUCGAAAGAGACGGAACUGUCACGGGGAUUUCCCCGUGUUGUGCUAUCUUCAUG
rfam:Paenibacillus sp. Y412MC10, complete genome.